CGCUGGCAGUGUUGGUGGCACUUGCGUGGGGGCGGUGGCACCAGCACUGGCGGUGG
ensembl:miRNA